CCUACGGGGGGCAGCAGUGGGGAAUAUUGCACAAUGGGCGCAAGCCUGAUGCAGCCAUGCCGCGUGUGUGAAGAAGGCCUUCGGGUUGUAAAGCACUUUCAGCGGGGAGGAAGGCGUUAAGGUUAAUAACCUUGGCGAUUGACGUUACCCGCAGAAGAAGCACCGGCUAACUCGGUGCCAGCAGCCGCGGUAAUACGGAGGGUGCAAGCGUUAAUCGGAAUUACUGGGCGUAAAGCGCACGCAGGCGGUCUGUCAAGUCGGAUGUGAAAUCCCCGGGCUCAACCUGGGAACUGCAUUCGAAACUGGCAGGCUAGAGUCUUGUAGAGGGGGGUAGAAUUCCAGGUGUAGCGGUGAAAUGCGUAGAGAUCUGGAGGAAUACCGGUGGCGAAGGCGGCCCCCUGGACAAAGACUGACGCUCAGGUGCGAAAGCGUGGGGAGCAAACAGGAUUAGAUACCCGAGUAGUC
rnacentral:rRNA from 1 species